GAUGAACGCUGGCGGCGUGCCUAAUACAUGCAAGUCGAGCGAACGGGCGAGAAGCUUGCUUCUCUGAUGUUAGCGGCGGACGGGUGAGUAACACGUGGAUAACCUACCUAUAAGACUGGGAUAACUUCGGGAAACCGGAGCUAAUACCGGAUAAUAUUUUGAACCGCAUGGUUCAAAAGUGAAAGACGGUCUUGCUGUCACUUAUAGAUGGAUCCGCGCUGCAUUAGCUAGUUGGUAAGGUAACGGCUUACCAAGGCAACGAUGCAUAGCCGACCUGAGAGGGUGAUCGGCCACACUGGAACUGAGACACGGUCCAGACUCCUACGGGAGGCAGCAGUAGGGAAUCUUCCGGAAUGGGCGAAAGCCUGACGGAGCAACGCCGCGUGAGUGAUGAAGGUCUUCGGAUCGUAAAACUCUGUUAUUAGGGAAGAACAUAUGUGUAAGUAACUGUGCACAUCUUGACGGUACCUAAUCAGAAAGCCACGGCUAACUACGUG
rnacentral:rRNA from 1 species